rnacentral:rRNA from 1 species
GGUAUCUACCCUUUGGCCUGGAAUAACACUNGGAAACUUGUGCUAAUACCGGAUAAGUCUUUACNGAGAAAGCUUUAUGCACCAUUGGAUGANCCUGCNCUUGAUAAGUUUGUUGGUAGGGUAAUGGCCUACCAAGACUAUGAUCAAUAGCUGAUUUGAGAGGAUGAUCAGCCACAUUGGGACUGAGACACGGCCCAAACUCCUACGGGAGGCAGCAGUGGGGAAUCUUGCACAAUGGAGGAAACUCUGAUGCAGCGAUGCCGCGUGAGUGAAGAAGGCCCUUGGGUUGUAAAGCUCUUUCGUCGGGGAAGAAAAUGACUGUACCCGAAUAAGAAGGUCCGGCUAACUUCGUGCCAGCAGCCGCGGUAAUACGAAGGGACCUAGCGUAGUUCGGAAUUACUGGGCUUAAAGAGUUCGUAGGUGGUUGAAAAAGUUGGUGGUGAAAUCCCAGAGCUUAACUCUGGAACUGCCAUCAAAACUUUUCAGCUAGAGUAUGAUAGAGGAAAGCAGAAUUUCUAGUGUAGAGGUGAAAUUCGUAGAUAUUAGAAAGAAUACCAAUUGCGAAGGCAGCUUUCUGGAUCAUUACUGACACUGAGGAACGAAAGCAUGGGUAGCGAAGAGGAUUAGAUACCCUCGUAGUCCAUGCCGUAAACGAUGUGUGUUAGACGUUGGAAAUUUAUUUUCAGUGUCGCAGCGAAAGCGAUAAACACACCGCCUGGGGAGUACGACCGCAAGGUUAAAACUCAAAUGAAUUGACGGGGACCCGCACAAGUAGUGGAGCAUGUGGUUUAAUUCGAAGAUACNCGCA